GAUUGCUGCUGCAUGCAGUGGAGUUCUUCCCCAACUAUCUUGAGAAUUAAUAAAAGGUAAUUGACCACCAGCUAAGAGAUCUUCUAGGAGUUCAGUGUUGUCCCAUAAUGCAGCCUGUAAAUGUUAAUAUACCUGAUGUAGAAGACGUCCGGGGAAGUCCUCAUCCUCAGGUGACGAGUCGAGCAUUAUUGCUGCAGGUGGAACGCAGCAUGAAUAUGUUUUGAUUGCGUUUUCAUGCAAAACUAGGCCAGGAGCAGUGAAUGGAAAUAUCAGCCGCAAAAAAUCGAUAAUUCAACGCGUUUUCGACCACGCUUCACACCAAAUGCACUGUUUUCUAUUAAAUAAUAAGCAAAUAAUUCAUUGUCCUAGCAUUUUAUAAACGCAUUCCACGCA